rnacentral:piRNA from 3 species
GCCUAAGGAGGGGUGAACCGGCCC